rnacentral:rRNA from 1 species
UGGGGGAUAUUGCACAAUGGGCGAAAGCCUGAUGCAGCGACGCCGCGCGGGGGAUGAAGGCCUUCGGGUUGUAAACUUCUUUUGCUCUGAACAAGGCAUGCUUUUGGGGUGUGUUGAGUGUAGGGGUUGAUUAGCGCCGGCUAACUACGUGCCAGCAGCCGCGGUAAUACGUAGGGCGCGAGCGUUGUCCGGAAUUAUUGGGCGUAAAGGGCUUGUAGGUGGCUGGUUGCGUCUGUCGUGAAAGCUCAUGGCUUAACUGUGGGUUUGCGGUGGGUACGGGCUGGAUUGAGUGCAGUAGGGGAGGCUGGAAUUCCUGGUGUAGCGGUGGAAUGCGCAGAUAUCAGGAGGAAUACCGGGGGCGAAGGCGGGUCUCUGGGCUGUUACUGACGCUGAGGAGCGAGAGCGUGGGGAGCGAACAGG